UUUGACCUCGGAUCAGGUAGGAAUACC
rnacentral:rRNA from 18 species